ensembl:lncRNA
GCCUCAGAGCGAAAAUCAGCACUCUGCUACAAACCACAUGACCAAGCAAGAUGAAACUCAACACAUUUCUCCUGUUCAAGUUGAAUCAGAGGAUGUCACAUAUUCUUUGGUGGAGCUUAAAAACACCACUCCAAGGAAGAAGCCCAAGAUACCAGAGGAGAGUUGUGUUUACUCUGAUGUUAAAAUACGACCUUCCUCAGGAAAAUCAGAUCCUGCCACAGCCCAUGAAAUGGUUUAUUCUGGACUCAAACCGGGAAAAUAACUUGGUGACUGUACAGCAGUCACCAAGCCCCAGCAGAGAUUUUUCACUGUAAUUAUGUACUUUUAGACACAUUAGAAUGUAUUGUAAACAAAAUAAAUAUAUCUGCA